GACAGAGGUCUCGAGCGUUAGGCGGAAUCACUGGGCUUAAAGCGUGUGUAGGCGGAGUUCUAAGUACCUUGUGAAAAUCCCACGGCUUAACCGUGGAACUGCUUGGUAUACUGGUUCUCUUGGGCCACUUAGGGGCUACCGGAACAAACGGUGGAGCGGUGAAAUGCGUAGAUAUCGUUUGGAACGCCAAUGGUGAAAAACAGGUAGCUGGGGAGUGUG
rnacentral:rRNA from 1 species